rnacentral:rRNA from 1 species
GAUGAACGCUAGCGGCAGGCUUAACACAUGCAAGUCGAGGGGCAGCAUAAAUAGUAGCAAUACUAUUGGUGGCGACCGGCGGACGGGUGCGUAACGCGUAUACAACCUUCCCUAAACAGGGGGAUAAUCUGGAGAAAUUCGGUCUAAUACCCCAUAACAUCAGAGCAGGCAUCUGUUUUGGUUAAAAUUUCCGGAGGUUUAGGAUGGGUAUGCGUAGCAUUAGCUAGUUGGUGAGGCAACGGCUAACCAAGGCGACGAUGCUUAGGGGGACUGAGAGGUUAACCCCCCACACUGGUACUGAGACACGGACCAGACUCCUACGGGAGGCAGCAGUGAGGAAUAUUGGUCAAUGGGCGGAAGCCUGAACCAGCCAUGCCGCGUGCAGGAUGACGGCUCUAUGAGUUGUAAACUGCUUUUGUACGAGGGUAAAGUGGGCUACGUGUAGCCUUUUGAAAGUAUCGUACGAAUAAGGAUCGGCUAACUCCGUGCCAGCCGCCGCGGUAA